rnacentral:rRNA from 1 species
UACGGAGGGGGCUAGCGUUGUUCGGAAUUACUGGGCGUAAAGCGCACGUAGGCGGAUCGGCAAGUUAGGGGUGAAAUCCCGGGGCUCAACCCCGGAACUGCCCUUAAAACUGCAGGUCUUGAGUUCGAGAGAGGUGAGUGGAAUUCCGAGUGUAGAGGUGAAAUUCGUAGAUAUUCGGUGGAACACCAGUGGCGAAGGCGGCUCACUGGCUCGAUACUGACGCUGAGGUGCGAAAGCGUGGGGAGCAAACAGGAUUAGAUACCCCCGUAGUCCCUGAGCGGG